CGCACGGGUGAGUAACACGUAUCCAACCUGCCGUCUACUCUUGGCCAGCCUUCUGAAAGGAAGAUUAAUCCAGGAUGGCAUCAUGAGUUCACAUGUCCGCAUGACUAAAGGUAUUUUCCGGUAGACGAUGGGGAUGCGUUCCAUUAGAUAGUAGGCGGGGUAACGGCCCACCUAGUCAACGAUGGAUAGGGGUUCUGAGAGGAAGGUCCCCCACAUUGGAACUGAGACACGGUCCAA
rnacentral:rRNA from 1 species